CAAUAGCGUAUAUUAAAGUUGUUGCAGUUAAAAAGCUCGUAGUUGGAUUUUGAGUUUUCUAAGCUUGGUCUACUAUUUAGUAGUACUGACUUAGUGGCUCUUCUUCUCGAGGCCUAUGGGUGCACUUAACCGUGUGUUCAUAGUGUUCGGGACUUUUACCGUGAGAAAAUUAGAGUGUUCAUAGCAGGCUUUUGCUUGAAUAUUGCAGCAUGGAAUAAUGGAAUAGGAUCAUGAUCUUAUUUUGUUGGUUUCUAAGAUCAAGAUAAUGAUUAAUAGGGAUAGUUGGGGGCGUUAAUAUUUAGUUGUCAGAGGUGAAAUUCUUAGAUUUACAAAAGAUUAACUUCUGCGAAAGCAUUCGCCAAGGAUGUUUUCGUUAAUCAAGAACGAAAGUUGAGGGAUCGAAGACGAUUAGAUACCGU
rnacentral:rRNA from 1 species